rnacentral:rRNA from 1 species
UACGUAGGGCGCAAGCGUUAUCCGGAAUUAUUGGGCGUAAAGAGCUCGUAGGCGGUCUGUUACGUCUGCUGUGAAAACCCAGGGCUUAACCCUGGGCUUGCAGUGGAUACGGGCAGACUAGAGGCAGGUAGGGGAGAAUGGAAUUCCCGGUGUAGCGGUGAAAUGCGCAGAUAUCGGGAGGAACACCGGUGGCGAAGGCGGUUCUCUGGGCCUGACCUGACGCUGAGGAGCGAAAGCGUGGGGAGCGAACAGG